rnacentral:rRNA from 1 species
UACGGGGGGGGCAAGCGUUGUUCGGAAUUACUGGGCGUAAAGGGCUCGUAGGCGGCCAACUAAGUCAGACGUGAAAUCCCUCGGCUUAACCGGGGAACUGCGUCUGAUACUGGAUGGCUUGAGAUUGGGAGAGGGAUGCGGAGUUCCAGGUGUAGCGGUGAAAUGCGUAGAGAUCCGGAGGAACACCAGCGGCGAAGGCGGCAUCCUGGACUGGUCCUGACACUCAGGAGCGAAAGCGUGGGGAGCGAUCCGG